GCGCCUAUAGCUCAACUGGAUAGAGCGUCUGGCUACGGACCAGAAGGUUGUGGGUUCGAUUCCUGCUGGGCGCA
rnacentral:tRNA from 1 species